AUUAACCAGCCAAAUUAGAAGGGUCUAGGAUUCCUUUGUAAGGCGCAGCAAAAAAGACAAUCAGAUACAAUAUCAGGGAUCUCCUGGUAAGGCUUCUGGCUACCAUUAGUUCUGACUACUGAGGUUUUGAUGAGAAAAAUGGCUGUGAGUUUUGAAAUGUCUUUGAGAAUUUCUUGGAUUUGUUGCCUGCUAAUUGGAGGGAUAACCUGUUAUCCUCCACCUAAAGGUAAUUAUAGAUAUAUUCCCCAAAAUCAAGUAAAAGGAACUGGCCACAAUGCAGCGGAAGCUACUGGCUCCCGUGCCUCGACAGGUGAAGCUACCGGCUCCCGUGCCUCAGCAGGUGAAGCAGCCACCCAUAAUGCCUCUGCAAGCGUCACGACUGGCCCAAAUACCUUAGCUGAAGCAACUGGCCACAAUGCUUCAUCAAGCGCCACGACAGUCCCAAAUGCCUUAGGUGAAGCAGCUGGCCACAGUGCCGCGCAAGCGAUCACCCAUAAUGCCUCGGCAAGUAUGGCAACUGGCCCAAAUACCUUAGGUGAAGCAACUGGCCACGGUGCCUCGGCAGCGGAAGCAACUGGACACAGUGCCAUGCAAACGGCCACUCAUAAUGCCUCAGAAGCGGCCAACCACAAUGCCUCUGCAAGCGUCACGACUGGGCCAAAUACCUUGGGUGAAGGAGCCGACUCCCGUGCCUCAGCAGAAGCAGCAACCCAUAAUAUCUCAGCAAGCGUCACGACUGGCCCAAAUACCUUAGCUGAAGCAACUGGCCACAAUGCUUCAUCAAGCGCCACGACUGGCCCAAGUGCCUCAGGUGAAGUAACUGGCCACAGUGCCUCUGCAGAGGAAGCAACUGGCCACAGUGCCACGCAAGCGGCCACCCAUAAUGCCUCUAAGUGUGGCAGCUGGCCCAAAUACCUUAGGUGAAGCAUCUGGCCACAGUGCUUCAUCAAGCACCACGACUGGCCUAAAUACCUUCGGUGAAACAACCGGCCACUUUGCCUCGGCAGAGGAAGCAACCGGCCACGGUACCUCAAGUGCGGAAUCUGGUUCAAAUGCCUCGGCAGAAGCGACAGGCGCCCUUGCCUCGGCAGAAGCGACAGGCGCCCUUGCCUCGGCAGAAGCGACAGGCGCCCUUGCCUCGGCAGAAGCGACAGGCCUUGAACAGGAGGGCCAACUCCUCAAGCAACAUGGAUAUUAGCAGCAGUGAUGUUUCUCAGGAUUUUGGGUAUGAGGGUGACAAUGAAAGCACCCAAUGUGUCAUCUCCAGCAGCGUUCAAAGCAGCAUCGUUGAACAGUCAAUUCUCGUACUAACAUAGUUACAAAUCGGUGUAUGAGAAGGGCAAUACUGUCUACUCCCAAACCUGCCACACCACUGGGUAGGUUAUGCAAACGUCACUACAGUCCGAGAGAUAUCUCUGAACCAAGCAUAUCCCCACCUGCUACGACUACUGGGAUGCAAUGUAAUGUGCAACUUCUACACUCACCUGCACUUUGCGUUCUGAUUUUGAAAUCCGUUGUACUCAUCGUCUAUCAACAGAAUUGCAAUGGUAGAUUCAUCCUUUGGAUGACAAUUCUGAGUUGUUGCUGACACUUUCUUUAAGCUUCCACUGUAUGCUUAUGCGUCGGCCAGGGAGUUGCUGCUGCUCGUUCUACCCUGCAUUACUUGUAAAACAAUAAAAUAUUGUACCUUUUUU